GUGGCCUUAGCUCAACCGGCAGAGCAUCGGACUGUGGAUCCGAAGGUUAUGGGUUCGACCCCCAUAGGCCACCCCA
rnacentral:tRNA from 1 species